rnacentral:rRNA from 1 species
GACGAACGCUGGCGGCGUGCUUAACACAUGCAAGUCGAACGGUGAAGCGCCUUCCUUUUUGGUGGGUGGGGGUGAGUGGCGAACGGGUGAGUAACACGUGAGUAACCUGCCCCCUUCUUCUGGAUAACCGCAUGAAAGUGUGGCUAAUACGGGUUAUUCUGAGUCUGUCGCAUGAUGGGUCUGGGAGAGAUAUUGUGUCGGUGGGGGAUGGGCUCGCGGCCUAUCGGCAUGUUGGUGGGGUGAUGGCCUACCAAGGCGGUGACGUGUAGCCGGGCUGAGAGGGUGAGCGGCCCCACUGGGGCUGCGACACGGCGAAGACUCCUACGGGAGGCAGCGGGGGGGAAUAUUGCACAAUGGGCGCAAGCCUGAUGCAGCGCCGCCGCGUGAGAGAUGGAGGCCUUCGGGUUGUGAACCUCUUUCGCCAGUGAAGCAGGCCUGCCUCGUUUGUGGGUGGGUUGACGGUAGCUGGAGAAGAAGCGCCGGCUAACUACGUG